UAACAGAGUUGUCGCGCCCGAGAGUUCAUAUCGACGGCGCGGCUUGCUACAUCGAUGUCGGCUCUUCCUAUCCUGGCUGUGCAGAAGCAGCCAAGGGUGAGGGUGUUCACCUAUUAAAAGGGAUCGUGAGCUGGGUUCAGAACGCUGUGAGGCAGUUUGUUUAAUAUCUACUGGAAAUGUUUGAUGUCUGAAAGGAAGGACCUUUUAGUACGAGAGGAACGAAGGUUCGAAGCCACUGGUCAACCGGUUAUCUGACAAGGUAUGCCGGGCAGCUACGCUUUAUAGGUAUAAGUGCUGAAAGCAUCUAAGCACGAAGACCUCCUUGAAAAGAGACAUCAUAGAACACAGGUAAAACACCUGUUUAAUGGAACCGAUGUGUAAGUACAAAGCUUCGGCGAUGUAUUCAGCAUGCGGUUUCCAACAGUUCGUAUUUGUAAUCUA
rnacentral:rRNA from 1 species